AUGGGCAUUCUGGCUCUCUUCGGCGAGGCCACGGGUCUGAAAAUCAAUCCGGACAAAACAUGCGUCGCCCCAAUCCGAUGCGAAGACAUAGACCUUCAGAUAGUGCUGCAAAACUUCACGGGCAAGAUCGUAGGUUUCCCAUUGACGUAUCUUGGCCUCCCGAUCACCGUCUCCCGGCUACGCAUCGUGCAUCUGCAAUUCAUCCUAGAUAGGAUACGCACUCGCCUUGCAGGAUGGAAAGGCCGUUUGUUAUCCAUCGCCGGCCGGAGGGUUUUAGUCAGGAGCGUUCUGACGGCACUGCCAACAUACGCGUUGUCCGUUCUCAGGGCGCCUGUCAAGUUUCUCAAGGACAUCGACAAGGUGCGCAGAUGCUUUCUUUGGGCGGGAGAGGAGGAAUUGACUGGCGGAAAAUGCAAAGUUAGCUGGCAGCAAGUGUGCUCGCCGGUGCAGCAUGGAGGCUUGGGCAUCCUGAACAUGACCAAAUUCAAUCGCGCUCUCCGGCUCAGAUGGUUAUGGCUGUCUUAG
rnacentral:rRNA from 1 species